rnacentral:rRNA from 1 species
GAUGAACGCUGGCGGCGUGCCUAAUACAUGCAAGUCGAGCGAACGGACGAGGAGCUUGCUUCGCUGAUGUUAGCGGCGGACGGGUGAGUAACACGUGGAUAACCUACCUAUAAGAGUGGGAUAACUUCGGGAAACCGGAGCUAAUACCGGAUGAUAUUUUGAACCGCAUGGGUGAAAAGUGAAAGACGGUCUUGCUGGCACGUAUAGAUGGAUCCGCGCUGCAUUAGCGAGUUGGUAAGGUAACGGCUUACCAAGGCAACGAUGCAUAGGCGACCUGAGAGGCUGGUCGCCCACCCUGGAACUGAGCCACGGUCCUGACUCCUACGGGAGGCAGCAGUCGCGAAUCUUCCGCAAUGGGCGAAAGCCUGACGGAGCAGCGCCGCGUGAGUGAUGAAGGUCUUCGGAUCGUAAAACUCUCUUAUUAGUGAAGAACAUAUGUGUAAGUAACUGUGCACAUCUUGACGGUACCUAAUCAGAAAGCCCCGGCUAACUACGUG